rnacentral:rRNA from 1 species
UGCAAGUCGAGCGGUAGCACAGAGAGCUUGCUCUCGGGUGACGAGCGGCGGACGGGUGAGUAAUGUCUGGGAAACUGCCUGAUGGAGGGGGAUAACUACUGGAAACGGUAGCUAAUACCGCAUAAUGUCGCAAGACCAAAGUGGGGGACCUUCGGGCCUCAUGCCAUCAGAUGUGCCCAGAUGGGAUUAGCUAGUAGGUGGGGUAACGGCUCACCUAGGCGACGAUCCCUACAUGGUCUGAGAGGAUGACCAGCCACACUGGAACUGA